rnacentral:rRNA from 1 species
AUUGAACGCUGGCGGCAUGCCUUACACAUGCAAGUCGAACGGCAGCACGGGUGCUUGCACCUGGUGGCGAGUGGCGAACGGGUGAGUAAUACAUCGGAACAUGUCCUGUAGUGGGGGAUAGCCCGUCGAAAGCCGGAUUAAUACCCCAUACUAUCUACGUAUUACAUCGGGGGACCUUCCGUCCUCGCACUAUCCGGUUGGCCGAUGGCUGAUUAGCUCGUUGGUGGGGUAAAGGCCUACCAAGGCGACGAUCAGUAGCUGGUCUGAGAGGACGACCAGCCACAAUGGGACGGAGACACGGCCCAGACUCCUACGGGAGGCAGCAGUGGGGAAUUUUGGAAAAUGGGCGAAAGCCUGAUCCAGCAAUGCCGCGUGUGUGAAGAAGGCCUUCGGGUUGUAAAGCACGUUUGUCCGGAAAGAAAUCCUUGGCACUAAUACGGUCGGGGGAUGACGGUACCGGAAGAAUAAGGACCGGCUAACUACGUG